rnacentral:rRNA from 1 species
AUCCUACGGGGGGCAGCAGUGAGGAAUAUUGGUCAAUGGCCGAGAGGCUGAACCAGCCAAGUCGCGUGAGGGAUGACGGCCCUACGGGUCGUAAACCUCUUUUGUCGGGGAGCAAAGAGAGUCACGUGUGACUCAUUGAGAGUACCCGAAGAAAAAGCAUCGGCUAACUCCGUGCCAGCAGCCGCGGUAAUACGGAGGAUGCGAGCGUUAUCCGGAUUUAUUGGGUUUAAAGGGUGCGUAGGCGGACUGUCAAGUCAGCGGUAAAAUACGGGGGCUCACCCUCCGCCCGCCGUUGAAACUGACGG